UAAUACAAAUAUGGAAGUAUGUGAAAACCUUAAAUAUGAUUUAAAGUGAAAAUUUAAAUUACAGGAGAGUAUGUAUAGAAAAAAUGGACUUGGUGAUUUUCAGAAUAUCUGGGUGAGUUUUGUUUUCACUUCCAUUUAAAUUUUCCUCUUGAAAAGAGUAGCAGCACUCUAAGAAAUGUAAAGUUUUGUGUCAUUUGUAGGGACAUGGAUGAAUCUGGAGAACAUCAUCCUCAGCAAACUGACACAAGAACAGAAAACGAAACACCGCAUAUUCUCACUCAUAGGCUGGAGUGCAACGGCAUGAUUUCAGCUCACUGCAACUUCCACAUCCCGGGCUCAAGUGAUUCUCCUGUCUCAGGCUUCCGAGUAUCUGGGAUUACAGGCAGGUGCCACCACACCUACUAAUUUUUGUAUUUUUAGUAGAGAUGGAGUUUCACCAUGUUAGCCAGGAUGGUCUCAAUCUCCUGACCUCGUGAUCCGCCCAUCUCGGCCUCCCAAAGUGCUGGGAUUACAGGCAUGAGCCACCACGCCUGGCCUAAAA
rnacentral:lncRNA from 1 species